UGAACGCUGGCGGCAGGCCUAACACAUGCAAGUCGAACGGUAACAGGAAGCAGCUUGCUGCUUCGCUGACGAGUGGCGGACGGGUGAGUAAUGUCUGGGAAACUGCCUGAUGGAGGGGGAUAACUACUGGAAACGGUAGCUAAUACCGCAUAACGUCGCAAGACCAAAGAGGGGGACCUUCGGGCCUCUUGCCAUCGGAUGUGCCCAGAUGGGAUUAGCUAGUAGGUGGGGUAACGGCUCACCUAGGCGACGAUCCCUAGCUGGUCUGAGAGGAUGACCAGCCACACUGGAACUGAGACACGGUCCAGACUCCUACGGGAGGCAGCAGUGGGGAAUAUUGCACAAUGGGCGCAAGCCUGAUGCAGCCAUGCCGCGUGUAUGAAGAAGGCCUUCGGGUUGUAAAGUACUUUCAGCGGGGAGGAAGGUGUUGAGGUUAAUAACCUCAGCAAUUGACGUUACCCGCAGAAGAAGCACCGGCUAACUCCGUGCCAGCAGCCGCGGUAAUACGGAGGGUGCAAGCGUUAAUCGGAAUUACUGGGCGUAAAGCGCACGCAGGCGGUCUGUCAAGUCGGAUGUGAAAUCCCCGGGCUCAACCUGGGAACUGCAUUCGAAACUGGCAGGCUAGAGUCUUGUAGAGGGGGGUAGAAUUCCAGGUGUAGCGGUGAAAUGCGUAGAGAUCUGGAGGAAUACCGGUGGCGAAGGCGGCCCCCUGGACAAAGACUGACGCUCAGGUGCGAAAGCGUGGGGAGCAAACAGGAUUAGAUACCCCUGGUAGUCCACGCCGUAAACGAUGUCGACUUGGAGGUUGUGCCCUUGAGGCGUGGCUUCCGGAGCUAACGCGUUAAGUCGACCGCCUGGGGAGUACGGCCGCAAGGUUAAAACUCAAAUGAAUUGACGGGGGCCCGCACAAGCGGUGGAGCAUGUGGUUUAAUUCGAUGCAACGCGAAGAACCUUACCUACUCUUGACAUCCAGAGAACUUUCCAGAGAUGGAUUGGUGCCUUCGGGAACUCUGAGACAGGUGCUGCAUGGCUGUCGUCAGCUCGUGUUGUGAAAUGUUGGGUUAAGUCCCGCAACGAGCGCAACCCUUAUCCUUUGUUGCCAGCGGUUCGGCCGGGAACUCAAAGGAGACUGCCAGUGAUAAACUGGAGGAAGGUGGGGAUGACGUCAAGUCAUCAUGGCCCUUACGAGUAGGGCUACACACGUGCUACAAUGGCGCAUACAAAGAGAAGCGACCUCGCGAGAGCAAGCGGACCUCAUAAAGUGCGUCGUAGUCCGGAUUGGAGUCUGCAACUCGACUCCAUGAAGUCGGAAUCGCUAGUAAUCGUGGAUCAGAAUGCCACGGUGAAUACGUUCCCGGGCCUUGUACUCACCGCCCGUCA
rnacentral:rRNA from 1 species